UACGUAGGCAGCGAGCGUUGUUCGGAGUUACUGGGCGUAAAGGGUGCGUAGGCGGGUCUUUAAGUCAGGGGUGAAAUCCUGGAGCUCAACUCCAGAACUGCCUUUGAUACUGAAGAUCUUGAGUCCGGGAGAGGUGAGGUGGAACUGCGAGUGUAGAGGUGAAAAUUCGUAGAUAUUGGGAAGAACACCGGUGGCGAAGGCGGCUCACUGGCUCGUAACUGACGCUCAUGCACGACAGCGUGGGGAUCAAACAGG
rnacentral:rRNA from 1 species